GCAGAGGUGAGGAUACGCAGGACGUCCUCUAAUGCCACUUCCGUGGGUGCUAGGUUAGAAGCUGGGGGCGGUGUUGACCUUGAGCGCGCGCGAGGGAAGCGCAGGCGCAGCUCAGGCUGACCGUCCUUGGAGACUUUCCGGAUCUCCACAGACCUCUCUUUUCCUCUGUCGUCUCUUUUACCUGCUUUAGUGCGUCCUGCAGCCCUCCCCUUACGGCAGUGGAAUUUGAUCCUGAGACGUUUCUUCACCAUUCAUAUAUACCAGUGGAAACCAGAAGAACAUCUACCAAGACCACAGGAACCAGAAAGAGAAUUCUGCCUAUUUUAAAAUACCUUCCAAUAUGGGUGGUUUCCUUCUAUUUAUAAAAUAUAUAUACAUAUAUAUAUGUAUGUAUAUAUAUAUAUAUAUGCACAUACACACAUACGCAUGAGAGUUUCACUUUUUUAGCUGAUGUUGAUAUAUAUAUAUAGAUACACACACACACACACACACACACACACACACGAAACUCCCAUGUACUUCUUAAAUUUGUGUUGUUGUUUUCCCAAGAUUUGUACCCUUCCACUCUGUGCCUUCUUAUUUGGCUAUAAGUCACAGUACUGGAGGCAGGGUUGAAGUGGAUAUACAGAACACCUUUAACCCAGAAAUUAGUCUCACAACUUGGGGGCCCUUGCUUAAGAUGUGACUGUAUCUACAAUUUCAUUUAUAAGAUCUCUUUUUGCCACUGUCUAGUUUUGUCAUAAAGCUGGAAUUGGGGAGCUAAACUAGGACGCUUGACAAGAGGUUAAGAAGUUUGAGCAGGCAGGGGUGGCUGUGGAUGUUGUUUCACCCUCCUUGUCAAAGUACCUGGAGAGCAUGACAUCCAGUCUAUAAAUGGUUGGAAGACCUUGGAAUCACUUCUUAGCCAUCCAGAAGCAGCAUGCACAGGGCAAUUGCUUUGUAUUAAAAAGGGGGCUAGAGACUGAGUUAUGAAUUGUUUUUACUUUGAAUUAUCUUUUGGGGGGAGAUGAAUAAUGUGGCGGACAAGAGAGAAGAAUUGUAAGUACUAACAUUGAAAACAGCUGGAGGUGGGAUGGGGCUGGGAAAUAGUUUGUGAAACAGACCUGCUGAGAAUCAAUCCAGAACUUCCCUGAGGGUUCUACCUCUGCUGUAUAGGGACAAUGUUGUAAAUAGACAUGCCCCAGGGCAUCUGCAGAUGCUAAGUGUGGUAGAGAGGAUUAGAGUCGUUCUGCUUGUGUAUCUGUGGGAAGCAGCUGCUAUCCUUGAGGAAGAAAAGGUGAAGAAGGAAACUGGCUAUCAGUCUGUCAGUGACAACACAUUCUGUGAAGUCUUACUCUUUCAUUUCUGACACUUUGGUUCUUACAUCCGUCCUAAACCUGGCAGCCUCAUUGAGGUUCACAAAGCAUCUCCUUCUAUGUGACAGUAAGACUGGAAUUAUUAUCAGGAUGGAAUCUAUUCCUGCCAGAGUAAAACCAUGAAAGGAAAUCACAGUCAGUAUUCGUUAUCUGCUUAUCAUUUUUAAUAGAUCAUGGGGUUCUGUGUUCCUUAUUUGGUAUUUGAUAAGUUGAUAAAUAACCCUUGGUUAAUAUCCUUUAAUAUUCCAAUUUCUGUUACAAGGUGAAAAAUGUUACAAGGAACAUUUUUUAAAGAUUAAAAUGCAUACCAUAUGUUUAAAGGCAGCACCUCCCAGUCUUUUUUAUCCCACAGAAUAAUUAUAAUGUUUUGUAUUGUUUACAUAUAUUGAAGUUGAGGGAUUUACCUAUUUUCAUUCCUUAAAGUAGAUGAGUCUUAAGAGAUUCAAAGAAAGGAGAAAUUCCCUUAUGAAAGGGAAUAAAAUAUGUGCACGAUGGAGAUUAGCAAGAAAUUCAGUAGUCUUACAAGGGAAUCAGAAGUACAAUCUUUGAUAACUUUGAUAAAAGUGCUAGUUGCUUAUUAGGGCUUUGUUUUGAGUUGCAGUUUCCUGAGUGAGAACUGUUAUCAAAUACUUAAGAACACCAGCAAAAAGUCCUCCUUCAACACCCACACUGACCUGGAACACUUUCAACCAUUAACACCUAUCACUGUUUCAAAGGCCAGUUCCAUAUUCUUUGCAAAAUCUCCUGAUAAACUUCCCUUCUGAGAACUUUCUAUUACUUUUUCUUUUCUUUAAUAAAUGUGAUUAUUAUGUGCUUAUAUGGCCUUUGUAAUUUCACCCCAACAUAUAUUAUUUUCCUAAUUGGACACAAAUGCCUAUAAAGUAGAACCUUCUUUUUG